ACGAACGCUGGCGGCGUGCCUAAUACAUGCAAGUAGAACGCUGAAGAGAGGAGCUUGCUCUUCUUGGAUGAGUUGCGAACGGGUGAGUAACGCGUAGGUAACCUGCCUUGUAGCGGGGGAUAACUAUUGGAAACGAUAGCUAAUACCGCAUAACAAUGGAUGACACAUGUCAUUUAUUUGAAAGGGGCAAUUGCUCCACUACAAGAUGGACCUGCGUUGUAUUAGCUAGUAGGUGAGGUAACGGCUCACCUAGGCGACGAUACAUAGCCGACCUGAGAGGGUGAUCGGCCACACUGGGACUGAGACACGGCCCAGACUCCUACGGGAGGCAGCAGUAGGGAAUCUUCGGCAAUGGGGGCAACCCUGACCGAGCAACGCCGCGUGAGUGAAGAAGGUUUUCGGAUCGUAAAGCUCUGUUGUAAGUCAAGAACGAGUGUGAGAGUGGAAAGUUCACACUGUGACGGUAGCUUACCAGAAAGGGACGGCUAACUACGUGCCAGCAGCCGCGGUAAUACGUAGGUCCCGAGCGUUGUCCGGAUUUAUUGGGCGUAAGGCGAGCGCAGGCGGUUUGAUAAGUCUGGAGUUAAAGGCUGUGGCUCAACCAUAGUUCGCUUUGGAAACUGUCAAACUUGAGUGCAGAAGGGGAGAGUGGAAUUCCAUGUGUAGCGGUGAAAUGCGUAGAUAUAUGGAGGAACACCGGUGGCGAAAGCGGCUCUCUGGUCUGUAACUGACGCUGAGGCUCGAAAGCGUGGGGAGCGAACAGGAUUAGAUACCCUGGUAGUCCACGCCGUAAACGAUGAGUGCUAGGUGUUGGAUCCUUUCCGGGAUUCAGUGCCGCAGUAACGCAUAAGCACUCCGCU
rnacentral:rRNA from 1 species